rnacentral:tRNA from 1 species
GGAUUGUGGCUCAGGGGUAGAGAGCUCACCUAGCACUGGAGGGACCCGAGUUCGAUCCACAGCACCA